rnacentral:rRNA from 1 species
CGGAGGGAGCUAGCGUUAUUCGGGAAUUACUGGGGCGUAAAGCGCACGUAGGCGGCUUUUGUAAGUAAGAGGUGAAAGCCCAGAGCUCAACUCUGGAAUUGCCUUUUUAGACUGCAUCGCUUGAAUCAUGGAGAGGUCAGUGGAAUUCCGAGUGUAGAGGUGAAAUUCGUAGAUAUUCGGAAGAACACCAGUGGCGAAGGCGGCUGACUGGACAUGUAUUGAACGCUGAGGUGCGAAAAGCGUGGGGAGCAAACAGGAUU